CCAAAAAUCUAUCUCUUUUUUUUAAAAAAAAUACAAAUUUAUUUAUUUAUUUAAAAAUUGAAUAUUUACUUUAGUAUAAUUAUUUUUAUAUGUUUUUUAUAUUUUAAUCAAAAUAUUAAUUUAAAUAAAAAUAUUUAUUGUUUAUAUUUUUAAAUUUCAUAUUAUUUUUUUUAAAAAAAUUAAAAAAUAAAUAUUUUUC
rnacentral:lncRNA from 1 species